rnacentral:rRNA from 1 species
UACGUAGGGGGCAAGCGUUGUCCGGAAUCAUUGGGCGUAAAGAGCGUGUAGGCGGCCCGGUAAGUCCGCUGUGAAAGUCAAAGGCUCAACCUUUGAAUGUCAGCGGAUACUGCCGGGCUAGAGUCCGGAAGAGGCGAGUGGAAUUCCUGGUGUAGCGGUGGAAUGCGCAGAUAUCAGGAGGAACACCAACGGCGAAGGCAGCUCGCUAGGGCGGUACUGACGCUGAGACGCGAAAGCGUGGGGAGCAAACAGG